rnacentral:rRNA from 1 species
CAAUAGCGUAUAUUAAAGUUGUUGCAGUUAAAAAGCUCGUAGUUGGAUUUGUGGUGUACUUCGGCGGCCCGUCACUAUGUGAUGGAGCUUGCUGAAGUCGCCAUCCUUGGGUGGAUUCUGUGUGGCAUUAAGUUGUCGUGCAGGGGAUGCCCAUCGUUUACUGUGAGAAAAUUAGAGUGUUCAAAGCAGGCUUAUGCCGUUGAAUAUGUUAGCAUGGAAUAAUAAGAUAGGACCUUGGUACUAUUUUGUUGGUUUGCGCACCAAGGUAAUGAUUAAUAGGGACAGUUGGGGGUAUUCGUAUUUCAUUGUCAGAGGUGAAAUUCUUGGAUUUUUGAAAGACGAACUACUGCGAAAGCAUUUACCAAGGAUGUUUUCAUUAA